CCUACGGGAGGCAGCAGUGAGGAAUCUUGGUCAAUGGGCGGAAGCCUGAACCAGCCAAGUCGCGUGAGGGAUUAAGGCCCUGCGGGUCGUAAAUCUCUUUUGCCGGGGAGCAGUUGUCCGGACGCGUCCGGACCGGGAGAGUACCCGGAGAAAAAGCAUCCGCUAACUCCGUGCCAGCAGCCGCGGUAAUACGGAGGAUGCGAGCGUUAUCCGUAUUUAUUUGGCUUAAUGGGUGCGUAGGCGGGCAUUUAAGCCGGCGGUCAAAUGUCGGGGCUCAACCCCGGCCUAUCGGCUGAACUGGGUGCCUUGAGAGGGCGAGAAGUAUGUGGAAUGCGUAGUGUAGCGGUGAAAUGCAUAGAUAUCACACAGAACCCCGAUAGCGAAGGCAGGAUACCGGCGCCCUACUGACGCUGAGGCACGAAAGUGCAGGUAUCGAACAGGAUUAGAUACCCGAGUAGUC
rnacentral:rRNA from 1 species